UGGCGCCGGCGCACAGGUGAGUAACACGUAUCCAACCUGCCGAUAACUCGGGGAUAGCCUUUCGAAAGAAAGAUUAAUACCCGAUGGCAUAAUUAGACCGCAUGGUCUUAUUAUUAAAGAAUUUCGGUUAUCGAUGGGGAUGCGUUCCAUUAGGCAGUUGGUGAGGUAACGGCUCACCAAACCUUCGAUGGAUAGGGGUUCUGAGAGGAAGGUCCCCCACAUUGGAACUGAGACACGGUCCAA
rnacentral:rRNA from 1 species